AACGCUGGCGGCGUGUUCAACACAUGCAAGACAAACGAACCUUCGGGUUAGUGGCGGACGGGUGAGUAACGCGUGUUACCCUGCCCUCAGGAGGGGGAUAACGGUUGGAAACGACCGCUAAUACCCCAUAUGCCGAGAGGUGAAAAGAAAUUCGCCUGAGGAUGAGCUCGCGUCUGAUUAGCUAGUUGGUGUGGUAAUGGCGCACCAAGGCUUCGAUCAGUAGCUGGUCUGAGAGGAUGAUCAGCCACACUGGGACUGAGACACGGCCCAGACUCCUACGGGAGGCAGCAGUGGG
rnacentral:rRNA from 1 species